AGAGUGAACGCUGGCGGUAGGCCUAACACAUGCAAGUCGAACGGCAGCACAGGAGAGCUUGCUCUCUGGGUGGCGAGUGGCGGACGGGUGAGGAAUACAUCGGAAUCUACCUUUUCGUGGGGGAUAACGUAGGGAAACUUACGCUAAUACCGCAUAAGACCUUCGGGUGAAAGCCGGGGACCUUCGGGCCUGGCGCGGAUAGAUGAGCCGAUGUCGGAUUAGCUUGUUGGCGGGGUAAAAGCCCACCAAGGCGACGAUCCGUAGCUGGUCUGAGAGGAUGAUCAGCCACACUGGAACUGAGACACGGUCCAGACUCCUACGGGAGGCAGCAGUGGGAAUAUUGGACAAUGGGCGCAAGCCUGAUCCAGCCAUACCGCGUGGGUGAAGAAGGCCUCGGUUGUAAAGUCCUUUUGUUAGGAAAGAAAUCCGUGCCGGUUAAACUAACCGAAGUAAGGGAUGGAACGGUAACCCGAAAGAAAUAAGACAACCGGCUAAACUCCGUAGCCAGACCAG
rnacentral:rRNA from 1 species